AAACGUUUGACACCAGCUAUGUAGGCGGAAAAUCAGUCAAGCGCAGUGAGGGGCUGGUGUUUGUCCGGACCGCAAGGCCGGCGGAUAUCUCAUCUUUGCUGUGGGUGAUGCACUUUUUCGUUCGCAGGUCAACAUCAGUUUCGCUUGCUGGACAAAACCCCGAGAGAAGGUAGCAGCUUUGGCUGUGUUAUAGCUCUGGGGCGAUACAGUGGGUGGGACUGAGGAUUCGCAGUGUGUGCUCUCGGGCAAGGCUGACUGGGUGCUCUGGGGUCGUUUGGCGUACAAUGCUUGCAUUUUGCGUCUUGUCUUCUUCAGACUCGCUUAGUUCGGCUCUUCCACGCUUAGGAUGUUGACUUAAUGGUUUUAAACGA
rnacentral:rRNA from 2 species